GACAGAGGGUGCAAACGUUGUUCGGAUUUACUGGGCGUAAAGCGCGUGUAGGCGGCUUUGCAAGUCGGAUGUGAAAGCCCACGGCUCAACCGUGGAAGUGCAUCCGAAACUGCAUGGCUUGAGUCUCGGAGAGGAAGGUGGAAUGCUUGGUGUAGAGGUGAAAUUCGUAGAUAUCGAGAGGAACAUCGGUGGCGAAGGCGGCCUUCUGGACAGUGACUGACGCUGAGACGCGAAAGCGUGGGGAGCAAACAGG
rnacentral:rRNA from 1 species